GGCAGCUGUGGCGCUUGCGGCCAUCCUGGUGAAUCAGGCGGUGUCUUGUAAGCGACGCCUUCUGGCUAAAGGACCAAUUCGAAUGGAGGCAGGGCCUCCCAAGCAAGCUUAUCUCCAACAGGUCGACCACUUUCCGUAGCCACGAGCUUCACACUUCCCUUCGCCAGGCUGGAGUAAAGCACCACUUCAAGUCAGCCUGCUACGUACAAGCGAAUGGUCUGACAGAGAGGUUGAACCAGACCAUCUAGGCCCAACUCACCCCACACUGUAAAAACAAAAGGCUAGGUCAAGCGGACUGGGAUGAGCAUCUUCAAGUGGCUGCACAAGCAAUUAACAAGGCAUUACAGAGCUCAGCUAGGACGCCCCCAUAAUAAAUUAUGCGUGCUCAGCUGCCAAAACUGGGUGCUAUACUCAUCUUGGACACACCUGUCAAAAUAGGAUGUUCCACUGCACAAUAGACAGUUUCCCACAACAUCCUAGCAAAGGCACAUGAGAGAGUUGCUCAGGCGCAACAGGCACAAAAGUGACACUAUGACCAUUGCCAUCAUCUAGCACCACAAUACAGGAUGAUUGGAGACAAAAGUCUGAGUAAAGCAACACCACCAGUUAUUGAUGCAGAAGCGACGUGUCAAAUAUGAGGAACCAUUAAUUGUUGUUGAAUGCCUAGGCGAUAGCACUUGGCAAGUCAGCUGCCCGCUUUGUGAAGCACGCGUAGAUAGACGAAAGUGGAACAAUUUUUGCCGUACGUAUGUUUCAGAGUGUAUCAAAUGAAAUAAAGGGUUCAUUGGCAAAACUACCGUGUUGCGGUAAGCUGUGCUUUAUUUUAAAUUUUCUGAUGAGCAACAAACGCAACAUGGCCAAGUGCAAUGAAAGAGGUGCAUGAGCACCACUAAAGGUAAAGAAAGAAGUCGAAGAAAAGAUCAGCGCAGGGGCACUGACACACUUCCUGUUUUGUACCUUCCUUAUAAUAUACUGUCGACUAGCAUUAAUUCAACCCUUACAGGAGCACAAGAAUUGAAAGAAUUAUCCAAAAGGUCAAAUUAACAAAUGGCAGCAAAAUGAACGAAUUCAAACGUUCACUGCUUGAGGCAGUUUGUAAUGUCUUUGUGCUUCUUGUUCUCGAAGCACCACUUAACCGGCAUGCGGCAAUGAGCACCAACAUGCUUAGACGCUGCCUCAGCAUUGAACUGAAAGCAAAAGGAAAGUUCUUAACGUUAUGACAAUAAAAGUGAAGUGAAAGUAAAUUAAAACAAUUUCAUGCCUAGGAAACAGUUGCACUACCUGCUGAAUUCCUUGUUUUUCAAGCCUUAAUAGCCACUAUGAGCAUGAGGGGAUGCCCACGUGAAACACAGAGGCUGCAAGCUUCUGUGUUUGCACAAACUUUUAUUCUGUAGAAAUGUAUCGUUUCUUGCCGAGACCUUUAAGUGUGUUCAAGUUAAGCGAAAAGUCAAAUGAAUCAAUGUCUAUUUAACAAGAGUAGACUGUUUAGUACUGUGCGUGCAUGUGUGUGUGAAUGAUUUUCUAAUAAAAGUGAUUGUUGUGAUUGAGUACA